GGUCGUAGACUAGCCAGCCUACAUUAAUCAAGAUAGUCCCCUUUCAUUGGCAGGCCAGUCUAAUCUAGGAAAUUUUUCAAUUGAUGUACUCCUCUCAGGUGAGUUUAGGCUGUGCCAAGUUAACAAAGCUAAUGAGAAAAAGAUUUUUUCAUGGCCAGCCUGGUCUACAAAGUGAGUUCCAGGCCAGCCAGGCCUAUACAUCGAAACCCUGCCUCAAAAAGCCAAAAGAAAAAAAAAUGUACUAUGGAAUCACCACUUAGCUUAGAUAUUGGUGGGUGGGUUUUUUUCUUCUUUUGAGAGUGAGUUGUUUUUUGUUUUUUCCUUUUCUAUUUCUCAGGUAGCAGCUGGCCUUGAAUUUGCUGUAUAAGUUUGCAACAUACAUUUGGCACUCAUUAAAACUUUUUGUUUUGUUUUAUUUUUGUAUUUGAACUGCUGAGGCUGGAAAUCAAGGCCUUGUACACUUUAUGGUUUUUCGAGACAGGGUUUCUCUGGGUAGCCCUGCAUGUCCUGGAACUCACUUUGUAGACCAGGCUGGCCUCGAACUCAGAAAUCUGCCUGCCUCUGCCUCCUGACUACUGGGAUUAAAGGCGUGGGCCACCACGCCUGGUCCCCUUGUACACUUUAUAAAUUUACUUUACCACUAAGCUACAUUCCCUCAGAGCUUAUUUGUCUGGGUUUGGCACUGAAUUCGUGAUCCUUCUGUUUCUGGCUCCCGGGUUCUGGGUUUAUAAGUAUGUGCUACUGCAUUCCCUUCGUAUAAUGGUGAUUCAAAUGUAGAUAAAUUAUGUUACCUUUGUCUUCAAACGGUGGAUUUAUGCUAGGACCCAGAGGAUUAAGGUUAAACCUACUUAAAGCAGUUGUUGCCACUGUCUUGAAAUAUCUUCCAUGUUUACAUGCUAAUUCUGUUUGAUUUAACAACUGACGUGUAUCAAGAUACACUUUCAGAAUAUAUUUUUGUAGGUUGUAAUUAAAACACCUAAAGCAUGAUGGUGCACAUCUUUAAUCCCAGCACUCGAGGGCAGAGGCAGAUGGAUCUCUGAUUUUUGAGGUCAGUCUGGUCUACAGAGUUCCAGGACAGACAGGGCUCUUACAUACACAGAGAAACUGUUUUGGAAAACCCAAAAUG
rnacentral:lncRNA from 1 species